AAGUUUAAGWUAAAUUUUAAACUUGGGGCCUUCAAAGCCCCCAACAGAGGACCCACCUCU
rnacentral:tRNA from 1 species